UACGUAGGGGGCAAGCGUUAUUCGGAAUUAUUGGGCGUAAAGGGCGCGUAGGCGGCCUGGCAAGUGGAAGGUGAAAUCCCUCGGCUUAACCGAGGAACUGCCCUCCAAACUGCUUGGCUUGAGUCCGGGAGAGGUGAGUGGAAUUCCCGGUGUAGCGGUGAAAUGCGCAGAUAUCGGGAGGAACACCAAUGGCGAAGGCAGCUCGCUGGGACGGUACUGACGCUGAGACGCGAAAGCGUGGGGAGCAAACAGG
rnacentral:rRNA from 1 species